UCCCCUAAAACCCUAACCCUAGAAAUUCCGGAAGCAGAACAUCCUAACCCACAAGACGAUGAUCCCAACCAAGAUGACCCAGAAGAUAUCACCCCUAUUUUUCCAACAAUCUGCGAUCCCCACGUCUCCUCCACCUCUGUUGCGACUAAUUUCACCGCCUUUCGCCGCGGCGGAGGCGGCGGGAAACGUAGUAAGCGAAAUCAUCACCAGGAAAGGAAGUAUCAGAAAAGGCUCAAAAUUCUUGUUGGAACCCUUAACCCCGUCCCGUUUGUGCCUGUCAAAGCCCUCGAUUUCCCCUCCCAUGAAGCUCUCCUAAGACGACUUGGACUAUGGGAAUUUGUUCACCUGCAGUUCGAUGUCAACAUCCGCACCGAUCUUAUUAUGCAAUUGAUUCUGACAUUUAACCCCGCCGGUCGCCAUAGCUACGUCAACGGGUGUCGCAUCAAAGUCAGCCGCGCUGAUUUGGCUCGCGCAUUGAAUCUGCCGACGAAAAAGGAUAGGGUGGAUACUGUGCAAGAGUUGAAGGAGAGCGAAGAAUCUAUAGGAUUCAUGCAGGAAUUCGUGUCUACUUGGUUGUUGUUGCAUGA
rnacentral:misc_RNA from 1 species